CGAAAUUACCAUAGCUUUCAUAAAAAUCAGCAACUAAAGCACCAACUAAGCCACCUUAAAUCACUAACAAAAUAUCACCUUUCAUAAGAAAAACCUAUUGUCCAUAACCUCCAGGGCUUCGCCUAUAUCCGUUGAGCCAAAACUAAUCCCGAGCUAGCCGAAAAAUACAGCAAAAUUGCAAUAACAGUAGCUGCAAAAAAUCACCAAAUCUGUACUGGAUAAACACCCUCUUUCAUCUAACGUUACUUUCAUUCCAAUAGAAACAUACAAACAACAACCAAUUAUUUGAAUGGACCGUUAAUUUUACGCCAAAUAAUAAAUUAGAGAAACAAAAAUGAAAUAAGCCCAAAUUCGUGACCAAGAAAAUGACAGAGAAAGAAGACUGAAAAUUCCAAUAGAAUCGUUUCUUUCGGCUUUGCUUGGAGGUUAAUUUUUCGGUGAAAAAGAUGAGCUUUUUUCGGCAAGGGCGGGCAGUGAUUCCAUAGUGGAUUCUCUAUUUUGGCUAUUCUAUUUUGUUUCAUAUUUGUAUUAGUUUUAUGGAAAGAUCUAGAUUAAAAUUUGAAGUAUUGAUGGAUAAAUUUUGAGUAUGGGCAUGUUGGAGAAGAAUGUGGGAAAGGGAAAGGGUCUAAUGGAAAGAUAUGUGUUUAAUUAAUUGGAUGGAGAGUGGAUUAGGGAAAGGGGAAGGAGACGCAGAAGAAUGGCAGAAGAAAGAAGAUGAAUAGGGGUGGGGUAGGGGUACCGCUGGUUUUGGU
rnacentral:lncRNA from 1 species